AUGAUUUCGUUUUUCUUUUUUCUCUGUUUUACAUAUAUUAUUUUUUUUCUUAAUAUCUAAUUUUUUUCUCCAUCUUUAAAGUUUGGGAUAAAUAAUCUGUGGGGAAGAAAUUUCUGAGUAAAACGCCGGGAUCGGUUGGUGUACUAAAUAUUUGGAGAUGACAAUCGACAAGUCUUGGACCACAGCAACAACCUGUGUAUGGUCAAAUGGGAGGAUCUCCACAACAGCCUAUGUAUGGAGCCUUUUUGAGUGCUCAGAGUCAGCAACAACAGCAACAACCAAUUUUGGUUCGCCCCCACCCUCGACAAUAUGUGGAGAUCUUGCCUACGCCGCAGACUGGACAACCUUAUUACCCUGCCCCGCCGGCUCAAUCCCGUGAGAAUAUUGAUGGUUCAAGACUUAGCUCAAAUGCAGACGAAUUUUUAGAAUUUACUGAUUUGAACAAUGAUAGUUAGGUUUUUUUUAAUUAUGUGUUAUGUUUUAAAGUUUAUUUAAAGACAAUUUCCUAAUUUUAUUUAAGAUAAUAUAAUUUUUAUUGUAAUGGACAAAUUAAUUUUAAUACUUAAUUUCUUAAUUAAUGUUUAA